rnacentral:rRNA from 1 species
GACGUAGGGGGCGAGCGUUGUCCGGAUUUAUUGGGCGUAAAGAGCGUGUAGGCGGCUUUACAGGUCCGUUGUGAAAACUCGAGGCUCAACCUCGAGACGCCGGUGGAAACCGUAAGGCUAGAGUCCGGAAGAGGAGAGUGGAAUUCCUGGUGUAGCGGUGAAAUGCGCAGAUAUCAGGAGGAACACCGGUGGCGAAGGCGGUUCUCUGGGCCUGUACUGACGCUGAGGAACGAAAGCGUGGGGAGCGAACAGG